ACAGACCCCUCAUUUCUUUGUAAUUGGGCAAACUCACAAAAUCAGCAGGGGAUCAAAUAAAUAUUUUCCCCACUGUAGGACAUUAGAAGAGCAACACCUCUUAAACCGACCAGAAAUCAGUCAUCAGGCCUUUCUCUCUCUGGCUAUCCCACAGCACUUUUUGGCUCUCCUGGUCAUCUAGUUCUGCCCUUAGUUUGUCCUAAGUGAAUCAGACCAGAAGUAUUAGCUUGCAGAAUCGCAUCUCACCCCGUCCCGUUCUGGAAUGAGCUGAGUGGUCCACACACAUACACCCCUGAGCAUUAAUACCCCUCUGUGGAGGCCUCUGCUCUCCCAACCACACCCUGUUUUUUCUGCCUCAUAUUUUUUAAUGACAAAAUGUUUUUGUGAAACAAUCGGGGUUGACUUUUCUCUCAAUCCGGGGGUAUAGUGUUGGGAGCUUACGCGGUUCCGGUACCCAGCAUUUCAGACGGCUAACAAAACAGGUCCACUUUACUUCUGCUUCGGUGGCUGCCUGCAAUGCUUUUCACCCACAGGAAAAAGACCAGAGGGGCAGAGAGCACGUGGCGGGUGAAUGAAUGAGCCAGGUUGGAUGCCUAUUCAAACCCAGUAAGACUCAUAGUAUUUUACAAUGGGCAUGACUUCAUCAGAGGCCUCUGAAGCUGAGGUGCCAGUGAAUUCAUGCAGCUGUUGGGGCCACAUCAGAGAAUGGGAGAAAUGUCCAUAAUUCUCAAAUCCCCAUUUAUGUAUAGGGUUACAUUUGAGUUAAAAGCAGAAAUUUUGGGUGUUUGAUGUGUUGCUGAUAUGUUCAACAGACAAAGGUACAUGAUAGUUGACGUUUGCCCGUUUAGUUAAAUGUUAAUAUUCUCCUUCAAUGAGAGGGAUUGGAAAUUUAGUAGUAAUGUUCCUAUGUUUCCCCCUUAAGUCUUUAAUCUCUCGGUUUAAAAGCAAUGUAUCACAAUUCAUAGUUCUUUAUGAAAUA